rnacentral:rRNA from 1 species
AUUGAACGCUGGCGGCAGGCUUAACACAUGCAAGUCGAACGAGUGGCGGACGGGUGAGUAAUGCUUGGGAAUCUGCCUUAUGGAGGGGGAUAACUACGGGAAACGGUAGCUAAUACCGCGUACCAUCGGAUGAGCCCGAGUGGGAUUAGGUAGUUGGUGAGGUAAAGGCUCACCUAGGCGACGAUCCCUAGCUGGUCUGAGAGGAUGACCUGCCCAACUGGAACUGAGACCCGGUCCAGACUUCUCCGUGAGGCAGCAGUGGGGUAGAUUGCACAAUGGGAGCAAGCGUGAUGCAGCCACGCCGCGUGUAUGAAGAAGGCUGUCGGGUUGUAAAGUACGUGCGGCGGGGAGGCGUUACCGGCCGAAUAAGCACCGGCGAACUCCGUGCCAGCAGCCGCGGUAAUAC